GCAAAGAAAUCAAGAAUAGCAAAGAGUAAAUAUAAAUAGAAGGUCUGAAUGAGUUACCUUUCGUUUCUAGUCUUUAAGGGAUUCUUGUUAUUCAUCAUAUCUUCUUCACUGUCCUUUUCUUAAUAUCUGUAAUUC
rnacentral:ribozyme from 15 species